GCCUACGGGGGGCAGCAGUAGGGAAUUUUCGUCAAUGGGCGCAAGCCUGAACGAGCAAUGCCGCGUGAACGAGGAAGGUCUUCGGAUCGUAAAGUUCUGUUGAAGGGGAAAAAGAGCGGAGAGAGGAAAUGGUCUCCGAUUGAUAUUACCCUUCGAGGAAGUCACGGCUAACUACGUGCCAGCAGCCGCGGUAAUACGUAGGUGGCGAGCGUUAUCCGGAAUGAUUGGGCGUAAAGGGUGCGUAGGCGGCCUGCUAAGUCUGGAGUGAAAGGUACUGGCUCAACCGGUACAGGCUCUGGAAACUG
rnacentral:rRNA from 1 species